AACCUUAUGGACCUGCGGGCGUAUACCUGCGGAAGGAUCAUUACCGAGUUUACAACUCCCAAACCCCUGUGAACAUACCUAUAUGUUGCCUCGGCGGAUCAGCCCGCGCCCCGUAAAACGGGACGGCCCGCCGCAGGAUCCACAAACUCUGUUUUUAUUGUAACUUCUGAGUAACAAAACAAAUAAAUCAAAACUUUUAACAACGGAUCU
rnacentral:misc_RNA from 1 species